AUUGAACGCUGGCGGCAUGCCUUACACAUGCAAGUCGAACGGCAGCACGGGGCAACCUGGUGGCGAGUGGCGAACGGGUGAGUAAUGCAUCGGAACGUACCUUUCAGGGGGGGAUAACGUAGCGAAAGUUACGCUAAUACCGCAUAUUCUGUGAGCAGGAAAGCAGGGGAUCGCAAGACCUUGCGCUGAUUGAGCGGCCGAUGUCAGAUUAGCUAGUUGGUGAGGUAAAGGCUCACCAAGGCGACGAUCUGUAGCGGGUCUGAGAGGAUGAUCCGCCACACUGGAACGGGGACACGGUCCAGAGUCCUACGGGAGGCAGCAGUGGGGAAUUUUGGACAAUGGGGGCAACCCUGAUCCAGCCAUGCCGCGUGAGUGAAGAAGGCCUUCGGGUUGUAAAGCUCUUUCGGCCGGGAAGAAAUCGCACGGGCUAAUACCCUGUGUGGAUGACGGUACCGGAAUAAGAAGCACCGGCUAACUACGUGCCAGCCGCCGCCGUAA
rnacentral:rRNA from 1 species